UAAACCCGGCCCAGUUAAAAUUGUAGGGCUUGCGUAUAAAUAACGCUAAGCCAACGCAAUCCCACUUGUAACGCGGCCUUCGUUUUCCUCGACUGCGCAGAGUUAUCUAGGGUUUUGGCAGGCGCAGGACAGGGUUUCUGUCUCACUGUGUCACCAUGAGAGCCAAGUGGAAGAAGAAGCGUAUGAGGAGAUUGAAGAGGAAGCGCCGAAAGAUGAGGCAGAGAUCCAAGUAGAAGCAGAUCAACAGUGGGGUCAUUUCUCACUCGAGUUCUUUACCUGCUUUAGGAUCUUACUGUCUGUCUUUUCUGAUUUCAUAGCUGUCAUUUACGUCUGCUUGAGGAAACAUCUCGUAACGUUCUUUUUUUCUCAAGUUAUAUGUCCUGACGUAGUGAUUGACUCUGUUGAGCUUUUGAUUUUGCAUUUAUGAGACGGUUAUGUGAUAUUGACGUUGCUAAUGUAUUUUGCUUAGGUUUGGUGGGUA